rnacentral:lncRNA from 1 species
GCGUGGUGGCACACGCCUUUAAUCCCAGCACUCGGGAGGCAGAGGCAGGCAGAUUUCUGAGUUCGAGGCCAGCCUGGUCUACAAAGUGAGUUCCAGGAUAGCCAGGGCUACACAGAAAAACCCUGUCUCGAAAAACCAAAAGAGAAAAAAAAAAAAAGAAAGAAAAGAUUUUGUUCACUCAUGAUCUUUAGGCUGGGGUCUCUUCAUAUGCCAGAAAAGAAUCAGCAGUGCUCAUGCGUGCCCAGGCUAACUAGAGUCUCCAGAGAGUUUAUGUAUGUAUGUAUGUAUGUAUGUAUGUAUGUAUGUAUGUAUGUAUGUAUGUAUCUUAAGAAAAAAGAUCCUUACUUUCCACUGAGGUCUGAAUCAGCGUCUGACACUAUGGCGCUUGUGUGCUCAAGCCCGUGUGUGCGUCUAAGCUGGGGCUAGACUGUGCUCAGAGCAAACUGGAGAGAUUAUUUUACUGGUAGCCAUCCAUGACCUGUUGUGCGUGUUCCUCUUUUUCACGCCCAAGGUUCUGCUGUUCAGACUGUCUCCUUUACCCCACAAUUCCCCUUUCCUUAUUCUACAGUUGUUUCUUCUGUCUCAUCCUUACAUACAUCUGUGUAUAUUUUUGUCUCCCUGAAAACGGUUGAAGUCUGUCCCAGUGAACUGAUUUUAAUCUUUUACUUUCAUUUUUAAGGCUGUCAGGGUGAAAGGAACACUGUGUGUGUUUACAUAGACACACUUCAUUUGCUGUCCUUCUGGGACGCUAGAAGUAGGCUUCUUUCUCAGACAGAUCUUAUUUGAAGUAGUCCUUGCAUUGAGAGCCCAAAGCUCCUUUGCGGUUUGUUAACCAUCAGUCCAGCUCGGGAGGUGCAGUCCUUCCUCAGCUAGUUAAGAUGGAUUAUGUCUGAAUUUCGCUGCAAUUGGUCCUGACUAACUGCACACAUCUUGGGUGAGGCUGAGGCUGUGUGGAUUCACAUUCCUGAGGUGGGAGACAAAUGAAGGUGUUAAGUAGAAGUGGAUUUAAAUGAAGGAUCUUCACUGUGUACUCCACAGUGAGAGAGCAUGUCCCUCUGUGAUUCACUGUUUCUUCAGAUCCCUGGUGGAAAGUGGGGGUUAGUUUAUGCAGCCACCACAUUAUUACAAGACUUCCCAUUGAUUCUGACCAUAAGAGGAGCACCUUUCUCACUGGCUUAUUGUGAGUGCCGGACUCUCCAGCAAGAAAGACGCCACAACAGGAUCCUUCUGCACACGUUUAUUGGGAGAGCUUGAUUGCAGAGGCGAAAAGACCCCGAGCCCCAGAACUGGCGCUGCUUAUAUAGGCCUAGGAGGGGCGUGUCCACACCCGAUUGGUUAAGCUUUCAGUGCCUCAUUUGCAUGCCUUGGGCCAGGCAGUGACUCGGCAAAAAGAACUCUACUGCAGAUGUGCACAUUGGUUGUUUACCAAACUUAUGGGUGGUGGCCAGUGGUAGCUGGUGCCAUCCUGCAAUGGCGUAUGUGGCUUCCCACAGCUUAUAUACUUGGGUCUCCAUAAUCCAGGAAAUAUAUAGCCUCUUUCAAACGUGGCCGUUUUUGUAGUUAUUUUAAGUGCACACACGACUUAAGUACUCUAUCACUGAGCUGUAUCCAAAGCCACUUUUAAAUGGUUAAAAAAAGAAAGGUACAUCUCUCUGGAUGUGGUUGCACACACUGUUAAUCCCAGCACUUGGGAGACAGAGGCAGGAGGAUCUCUUGAGUUUGAAGUCAUUCAGGUCUAAAUAGCAAGCUCAAGACUAGCUUAGGCUACAUGGAAAGAGCCCGUCUCAAAAAGCAAACAAAGUAUUUCUUUCUUUCCUUUUCUUUUUUCCUUUCCUUUUCUUUUUCUGUGAUACUAUUAUUUGGGCCUUCCUAUUGUCUACCUCUUAGAAAAACGAAGGGAUCACUGUGCACAGAUCUCUCAAAUUUGACUAAGGUCUACGUUGGUCGAUGGAAUGAGGCAGACAAAGUCCCACUGGUCAUCUUUGUGGAAGAUGUGAGGGUACCUUUCAGUAGAUUCAUUUCAUAGACUCAUAUUUAAACAGUACCCACCUAUCUUCUGCAGGCAUCAGCGUGGAAGGUCAAAGAUCCUACAGUUGCUGAGAGAACAGUUGUAGUCUCUGGACUUCCAGUUGGCCUUUUAAAGGACCAGUUAGUGAAGUGCUACUUCCAAGACGAGGGUGGACAUGUGGAAGAGGUGAUAUAUCCAUCAAAAUCCAAAGGAGUUGCGUAUAUCAUCUUCAAGGAAAAGAAAGGUAACCAAGAUUUUAUUAUCUGAGAAGUGCUUUCUCGGUGACAUUAAAAUUUCAUAUUGUUAAAAUGACUGAUGGGAUUGGCAGCGUUUGAAGUAGCAUAAAAAAUUACUCUGUUCUGAGAAGUGGCCAGUCUUAUGUUUGCAAAAAAUAUAUGAAAAUAGCUUAUGAAAAUGUGUCAGUGAGUGAAAAAAAUUGAAAACUUUAAAAAGUAUUUUGCAUAUAUAUAUACACACACACAUAUAUAUAUAUAUACACACACACACACACACACACAUACACCUUAGGAGGCAGAUAUAGAACAUGUGUAAAAUAAAGUUGAAUUAUAUAUAAUCUCCUAGAUAAGACAACUAUUUAGGGAAGUCUCAGGUGGCAGCAGCAAUAUAAUCACACUCUCUGCUUCUAAUCCCUCCAACUAUCAAGUGAAAAGUCCUUUUUUUUUCUUUUUUUAAGAUUUAUUUAUUUAUUUUAUUCAUAUGAGUAUACUGCAGUUGUCUUCAGACACACCAGAGAGGGCAUUGGAUCCCAUUACAGAUGCUUGUGAGCCGCUAGGUGGUAGCUGGGACUUGAAACUUAGGACCUCUGGAAGAGCAGUCAGUGCUCUUAAUCACUGAGCCAUCUCUCCAGGCUCUCAAGUGGAAAUUCUAAUAAAGAGUCUGCUUUGUUACUGGUUACAUUGAACUGAGAACUAUGGCCUGCACCUGAAAUAGGACUGAGGUGUUCUGUCUCCCACUCCAUCUUGAAACAGCCAGCUGCAGAUUGGUGGCUGCAGAUUGUCCUUGCUACUCCAGCCUGGAGGAGGGACAGUCUUUUUUAGGCUUAGAUGCUAGAGGAUAAAUGCCAGAGAACAUUCUCCGUGCUCUACCCCAUCAGGAGCGAAAGUUCCAUGCAGGUGUGUU